GAUGAACGCUGGCGGCGUGCCUAAUACAUGCAAGUCGAGCGAACGGACGAGAAGCUUGCUUCUCUGAUGUUAGCGGCGGACGGGUGAGUAACACGUGGAUAACCUACCUAUAAGACUGGGAUAACUUCGGGAAACCGGAGCUAAUACCGGAUGAUAUUUUGAACCGCAUGGUUCAAAAGUGAAAGACGGUCUUGCUGUCACUUAUAGCUGGAUCCCCGCUGCAUUAGCUAGUUGGUAAGGUAACGGCUUACCAAGGCAACGUUGCAUAGCCGACCUGCGAGUGUGAUCGGCCACUCUCAGCCUGCGACACGCUCCAGAAUCCUACGGGAGGCAGCAGUAGGCAAUCUGCCGCCAUGAGCGAAUGCCUGACGGACCAACGCCGCGAGAGUCAUGAAGCUCUUAGGCUCGUAAAACUCUGUUAUUAGGCAAGAACAUAUGUGUAAGUAACAGUGAACAUCUUGACGGUACCUAAUCAGAAAGCCACAGCUAACUACGUG
rnacentral:rRNA from 1 species